ensembl:lncRNA
GUGGGAGUGAAUGUGAGAGCAAUUGGUUGUCUAUGGCUGUGUCCCUCCGUGUUAGCCCUGCGACAGACUGGCCACCUGUCCAGGGUGUACCCCGCCUCUCACUCUAAGACAGCUGGGAUAGGCUCCAGCACCUGCAUCCUCCAGCAUCCUGAAAAGGAUAAGCAGAAACAAAUGGAUGGAUGAAUGGAUGGGUGGAUGGAUUACUUAAUAAUGUAAAUAUUAAGAUGAGAUUAUGCCCUUUGUAGGGGGCCCCAAGGAUGCCCAAAUUUCGUUAUGUUAAUAUUAGCGAACAUAGGCUAGAUUGCUAGAUAUUGAAAUCUAUUUUAGCUUUCUGAGCCAUAUUGCUUCUUGCCAUCCAAGGAGUUAAUAUACUUUGUGAAUUCAGUUUGUUAAAGUUUCCUAUUAAUUGUUUAUCUACAGUACAUUUAUUGACAGUGUGUUGAAGCACAGAACCAAACAGAAUAAAUUAUGUUUAAUUCCUUUUUUUCCAAUCUUGGACAUAUUUGUUUAAAGAAGAAAAAGUGAGUACAAGUCAAAUGAAAGAGUCGAUAUUUAAUUAGAAUUUUUUUUUAAAAUUGAUCUGAAUCAGUUUAUAUCUUUUAUCUGUUGUAAAUUCUUUUUAAUUGGUACAAUUACCUUUGCAAUGGCAGCACAAGGACAGAGAGAGAAAAAACAUUCUUAAUGAAUACAGUAUGUUUGUGUAAUUGUCAGUGCAAAGAAAGAAGAAUGAGGAAGGAGAGGGAUAGAGAGAAAGUGUCCAAGACCAAGAAGAACCAGGUGUGAAACAAUAAUCAUUUAGCCAAAACAAAAAAAGAAAAAGAAAAGCUUUUCUUUUUUUCAUUUUUAAAGAAUACAUAAAUUCUGGGUAUUCUACAGGAAAGGAAACACAACUUGUGGCAUAAAUAAUUUCAAGUACCUCCUUAAUGGGAGCCAUGGUUUGUUUGUUUUUUCUCUCACUCUCUCUCUCUCUUUUUUUCGCUUUUCGCCGCACAUAAGCCUUCUGUUUGCGCUGAGCAGAUGGGGAGGGGCAGUAGUUACACUCGCAGUAGCACAGGAACAGAGCAGGAGGGAGAGUGAGAGUGAGAGCCAGGGACAACAAUAAGAGACAACAUCGUCACAUUAGAAAGGUACAGUAAAGAAAAUGAGUGACACCACGAAAAGAAGCAAAAUGUGGAACCAUUUCAAUUUUGUUGACAAUACAUAGGCAGCGUGUAGAGUCUGCUAGAAAAGGAUAUCAUACAGAGCCGGCUCCAUAAACAACCUGCACAGGCACCUGAGAACUCUCCAACCAUCAGUGCAAUGGGAAGAUAAAACACAGUCAGUUGAGUGUGAUAUUAAUGGU